UUGAAUCUAAAAUUUUAGAGAUAGUAUAUCAGAAUGAUGGAAAUGGUAGAUACUUAGUUUAUCUCUCCACUAAUCCAAAGAGUAACAUCUUUAAAUAUUUGGUUAGAGCGAAUAUCAAACUCAUACUAUAAAUUGCAAUGUAAGAUAUGCAGUAUUUAACGAUUAAUAUUUGUGCACGGGUUCCUGAAGAUCUAAAAAAUGAAUUAAAUGAAAUAAUUCAAUAUAAAAAUAUUUCAACAUUAAUAUUAAUAAUA
rnacentral:lncRNA from 1 species